rnacentral:rRNA from 1 species
UACGGAGGGUGCAAGCGUUAAUCGGAAUUACUGGGCGUAAAGCGUGCGCAGGCGGUUCGUUAAGUCAGCUGUGAAAGCCCCGAGCUUAACUUGGGAAUUGCGGUUGAAACUGGCGGACUAGAAUCUGGCAGAGGGGGGUGGAAUUCCACGGUGUAGCAGUGAAAUGCGUAGAGAUGUGGAGGAACACCGAUGGCGAAGGCAGCCCCCUGGGCUGAGAUUGACGCUCAGGCACG